rnacentral:rRNA from 1 species
GCCUAACACAUGCAAGUCGAACGAGGACCAGGUGCUUGCACCCCCAGCCGAGUGGCGGACGGGUGAGUAACACGUGACCAAUCUGUCUCCGAGCGGGGGACAACCCGGGGAAACCUGGGCUAAUACCGCAUACAGCCCCAUGGCCGCAUGACCGUGGGGUGAAAGCAGGCCUCUACUUGUAAGCUUGCGCUCGGAGGGGAGGUCGCGGCGUAUCAGCUAGUUGGUGAGGUAACGGCUCACCAAGGCGACGACGCGUAGCGGGGUCUGAGAGGACGACCCGCCACAUUGGGACUGAGAUACGGCCCAGACUCCUACGGGAGGCAGCUGUCGGGAAAUUUUGCGCAAUGUCCGAAAGGUUGACGCAGCGACGCCGCGUGUGGGACGAAGCUCUUCGGGGUGUACACCACUGUCAGGAGGGAAGAACCCCGUGCGCUCAAACAGGGCGUACGUCUGACGAUACCUCCAGAGGAAGCGCCGGCUAACUCCUUGCCAGCAGCCGCCCUAAUUCGCAGGGCGCAAGCUUUGUUCGGAAUUACUGGCCGAAGGUUUAACACGGGGGUUUCCUUAAGUCUUCCGGGAAAACCCAGGUCUCAACUCUGGGAAUUGCAGAAGAAUACUGGGAGACUAGGAGAUCGGUUAGAGGGCUAGUGGAAUUCCUUGGGUGGGUAGCGGUAGGAAUUGCGAUAGAUAUCAAGGGAGAAACCGACCGGGUGGCCGGAAGCCGACUGACGCUCAUGCUCGAAAGCGUGGGAGCAACAGGAUUAGAUACCUGGUAGUCACGCGUAAACGAUGGGCACUAGAUGCCGGGCCUUUCGACGGGUUCGGUGUCGCAGCUAACGCAUUAAGUGCCCGCCCCUGGGGAGUACGGCCGCAAGGCUGAAACUCAAAGGAAUUGACGGGGGCCCGCACAAGCGGUGGAGCAUGUGGUUUAAUUCGAAGCAACGCGAAGAACCUUACCUGGGCUUGACAUCUGAGUGAAACUCCCUGGAAACAGGGAGCCUCCUUCGGGACACUCUGACAGGUGCUGCAUGGCUGUCGUCAGCUCGUGUCGUGAGAUGUUGGGUUAAGUCCCGCAACGAGCGCAACCCUUACCCUAUGUUGCCAGCGGUUCGGCCGGGGACUCAUAGGGGACUGCCGGUGAUAAACCGGAGGAAGGUGAGGAUGACGUCAAGUCAUCAUGGCCCUUACGCCCAGGGCUACACACGUGCUACAAUGGCCGGCACAAAGGGCUGCCAACCCGCGAGGGUGAGCGAAUCCCAAAAAGCCGGUCCAAGUUCGGAUUGCAGUCUGCAACUCGCCUGCAUGAAGUUGGAAUCGCUAGUAAUCGCGGAUCAGCAACGCCGCGGUGAAUACGUUCCCGGGCCUUGUACACACCGCCCGUCACACCAUGGGAGUUUGUUGCACCAGAAGCAGGUAGCUUAACCUUCGGGAGGGCGCUUGCCACGGUGUGGCCGAUGACUGGGGUGAAGUCGUAACAAGGUAGCCGUAUCGGAAGGUGCGGCUGGAUCACCUCCUU